GACGAACGCUGGCGGCGUGCUUAACACAUGCAAGUCGAACGGGACUAUAUUGGAACUUGGUUUACUGAGGGAAGAUAUAUGUCUAGUGGCGGACGGGUGAGUAACGCGUGAGCAACCUGUCCUCAAGUGGGGAAUAACAACGAGAAAUCGUUGCUAAUACCGCAUGAGACCACAGCAUCGCAUGGUGCGGGGGUCAAAGAUUUAUCGCUUGAGGAGGGGCUCGCGUCCCAUUAGCUAGUAGGUGAGGUAACGGCUCACCUAGGCGACGAUGGGUAGCCGAGCUGAGAGGCUGAUCGGCCACACUGGGACUGAGACACGGCCCAGACUCCUACGGGAGGCAGCAGUGGGGAAUAUUGGGCAAUGGGCGCAAGCCUGACCCAGCAACGCCGCGUGAAGGAAGAAGGUUUUCGGAUUGUAAACUUCUGUUGUGAGGGACGAAACAAAUGACGGUACCUCACGAGAAAGCCCCGGCUAACUACGUGCCAGCAGCCGCCGUAACAC
rnacentral:rRNA from 1 species